AACGAACGUUAGCGGCGCGCCUAACACAUGCAAGUCGAGCGAGAAAGGGCUUCGGCCCCGGUAAAGCGGCGCACGGGUGAGUAACACGUGGAUAACCUACCCCUUGGUGGUGGAUAACCUUCCGAAAGGAGGGCUAAUACAGCGUAAGACCACGACUUCGAAAGAGGUUGGGGUAAAAGUGGGCCUCUGUACACAAGCUCACGCCAGGGGAUGGGUCCGCGACCCAUCAGCUAGUUGGUAGGGUAACGGCCUACCAGGGCGAAGACGGGUAGCUGGUCUGAGAGGAUGAUCAGCCACACUGGGACUGAGACACGGCCCAGACUCCUACGGGAGGCAGCAGUGGGGAAUCUUGGACAAUGGGCGCAAGCCUGAUCCAGCCAUGCCGCGUGAAUGAUGAAGGCCUUAGGGUUGUAAAAUUCUUUCGUCGGGGACGAUAAUGACGGUACCCGAAGAAGAAGCUCCGGCUAACUUCGUGCCAGCAGCCGCGGUAAU
rnacentral:rRNA from 1 species